rnacentral:rRNA from 1 species
UACGAGGGGGGCGAGCGUUGUUCGGAAUUAUUGGGCGUAAAGGGUGCGUAGGCGGCCUGACAAGUCUGAUGUGAAAUCCCUGGGCUCAACCCAGGGCCUGCAUCGGAAACUGUCGGGCUUGAGUAUGGGAGAGGUGAGUGGAAUUUCCGGUGUAGCGGUGAAAUGCGUAGAUAUCGGAAGGAACACCUGUGGCGAAAGCGGCUCACUGGACCAUUACUGACGCUGAGGCACGAAAGCUAGGGGAGCAAACGGG